GGGCCUCGUGUGGCCGUGGUCGAUCAUCGCCCCCGCCAAUCCGUUCCGCGCGCUGACGUACUUCUCGCAUUUCUUCGAGAAGCCCUGGAAGGAACUGUUCAACGGCGCGAGGACAUGCCGUGGUCGUAUCUGCCGACGCUGUUCGCACUCCAGCUUCCCGAAGUGUUGCUCGGCCUGCUCGGCGCCGCCGUCGCCGGCACAUUCGUUGCGCUGAUGCGC
rnacentral:misc_RNA from 1 species